AUGGUUUUUUCCGCACAAGGUCCUCAGACAAGUAAUCAUGGAAAAGAAAGGCAUGGCAAAACCAUUGAUGAGGAAGGCAGCAGAAUGAGCUGCAAUUACUGCGGUGAGGUGGUUUGUAGUUACAGCCGUCUAGAGGAACAUUUAGCAGGCUUCAGGGGCAAUGUUCGUCCAUGCAACCUAGUACCGGACAGUGUCAGGACAAGCUUAAGGAGUUCACUUGUGGAUCGCAAGAAAGAUCAGAUGCUCGGAAAGACGAAGAGACUGAAGCAAGAACAUGAUGAGGUUCCUCACACAAACCCAGCCCUUCAAUCUCCUCAAGUCCAGCAACCACAGCUACAACCAACUGUGUCCAAUAACAACCGCUGCUUUGUUCAUUAUCAACCGGAUCUGACGCAGGCCAAGGAAAUCACAUAUAGUUCUUGUCAACCGAAACCCAAGGUUGAGACAAGUGAUUACUUCGAUUCUCAGUUGGCAAAGUCAAUAGGCAAGUUCUUCUCCGAAGCUGCACCUGAGCCUGGUGUUCUCCAUUCAUCAUCUUUGAAGGAGAUGGUUGUGUUUUCCCAUGGGCCUGGGCCUGUAAUGCCUACGUACGAAGCUGUUCUGCAGGAGCAACUAAGAGAAACUGAGAACCGCGCAAAGGAACUCAAGCAAGAGUGGCAAACAAGUGGCUGCACUGUAAUUGUGCAUAGUUGGAAGAGCAAGUGUACCAAAAGCUUCGUAAGUGUCCUGGUGCACUGCAGCAAAGGUACGCUGUUCCUGAGAUCCAUUGACGUCUCUGAAAUCACUGAGGACUUUGAUGAGCUAGAAUCAAUGCUUUCUCGCGUGGUUGAAGAUGUUGGUGCUCAUAACAUUGUUCAGAUUGUCAUGAAUGACGUGUCACCCCAUAUGCAGAUGGCACGGCAGUAUGUGCUAAAUAAAUAUGAUUGUUUUUUCUUCACACUAUGUGCUGACCAUUGCAUCAACCUUCUGCUUGAGAAAAUAGCAGCGCUCGAGCAUGUCAGUGAAGUCCAAAUGAAGGCAAGGGAAAUUACAAGGUUUUUAUAUGACCAUGCACUGCCAAUGAAACUGAAAGGAAGGUAUGUUCAGGAGGAGAUUUUGAGCAGUUCUUAUUUAAAAUUUGUGGCAAUGUUCAUCACAUUAGAGAGGUUAGUUUCUGCAAGAGUAGAUCUGGUGCAGAUGUUAAACUCGCCUAAAUGGAUUUCCUCUGGUUGGGCUUGUCUUGAUUUGUUCAAGCGUAUCCAGAGCAUAGUAAAGACAGACGAUGAAUUUUGGCAUGCUGCUGCAAAAGUCAUCAAGGUUACACACCCACUUGUCAGUGUGUUGUAUAAACUGGAAUAUGAUAUCUGUCCGAUGGGUAUCUUGUAUGAAGCCAUGGAUAGAGCAAAAGAAGAGAUAUCUCUCAAUAUCGGAGAUGAAAGUGACUUUUAUUGGUGUAUGAUUGAUCGGAUAUGGGAUGAUUACUUGCAUAGUCCUCUCCAUGCUGCUGGUCAGAUGCUAAACCCAAGGAUCUUUUACACAGCUGGAUUCAAGCCUGAUACUGAGAUCAGCAGCGGCAUCGCGGCCUGUACAAUCCAACUGGGCAAGGCUCAUUACAAUGCCAGAAAAGCAUCUGCACAAUUGAAAGUGUAUGAGAAGAAGUUGGGCUAUUUUGACACAGAUCCAGCAAUGCAGCAAAUCAUGGAAUUACCACAAGUUCAAUGGUGGUCGACGCACGGGGCUCGCGUGCCCGACCUGCAGACCCUGGCGAGGCGCGUCCUGAGCCAGACGUGCUUCGGCGCCACCAGGUACAACAUCGACUGUAGCCUGUCUGAGAAGCUGCACGCCGAGUGGGACGAGAUGACGCUGCUCGAGCAGGAGAGGUUCCAGCAGAAGGAGUACGUCCACUACAACAGCGUCCUCGCGCGCGCCUCCCCGCUCCUGCACGGCUCCUCCUUGAAGCAGCACAACAGGGUCACCUUGGUGCUGCACGACUGGAUCAGGCCGCAGAAACAAGCCGCUGGGCCGCCACUGACUGAGUGA
rnacentral:rRNA from 1 species